UCUGUUUUUUUACAGUGCGUUGUGCAUUAUUUUAAAAUUUAAAUCUUCCAAUAAUAUUAAUAAAAUUAUUCGUUCAUUAUGUUGUCAAUGUUUCUCCAUUACUCUAAUUGUUUAAUCCAGAAUUAUAAAAAAAUGGAAACACGUUCAAAGUUCACGAGAAAAAAAGAUGAAGGAUAAAGAUAAAGAAACAAAAAUGGCAGCUGUUGAGAAACAUUGUUCUGAUUUAGUACAAAUGAAACAUCAAGCAAGAAGAUUGACCCAUUAGAAAAUUUACAUUUAAUUAGAACAUGCAAGAAGAUCUAUCAAUUGAUUUGGAAAAUGACAAUGUGUACAAUUUUUUUAUGGGAUGAUUAGACAAGUCUCAGUACCAAGACUUUGAAAUGGAAUCAAAAGAAAUUUCUUCAGAGCAUAUCAGAAAAUGUUAAAUUAAAUGAAAUGAUGUAAAGUUUUUUCCUUUUUCGCCAACAUGUCGUAAAGGAUUUUCUUAAGCAUAGGACCACCUUUAAGUCUUUUAAGCAUAUCG